AACAUCGCGCACCUGCGGGAACCUGCGGAAGGAUCAUUACAGAGUUGCAAAACUCCCUAAACCAUUGUGAACGUUACCCAAACCGUUGCUUCGGCGGGCGGCCCGGGUCCUUCCCGGCGCCCCUCGGCCCUCGCGGGCGCCCGCCGGAGGUAAACCAAACUAUUGCAUUGUAUGGCCUCUCUGAGUCUUCUGUACUGAAUAAGUCAAAACUUUUAACAACGGAUCUCAGAUCGGAAGAGC
rnacentral:misc_RNA from 1 species